rnacentral:rRNA from 23 species
AAACUUUCAACAACGGAUCUCUUGGCUCUGGCAUCGAUGAAGAACGCAGCGAAAUGCGAUAAGUAAUGUGAAUUGCAGAAUUCAGUGAAUCAUCGAAUCUUUGAACGCACAUUGCGCCCGCCAGUAUUCUGGCGGGCAUGCCUGUUCGAGCGUCAUUAC